rnacentral:rRNA from 1 species
UUGAUCCUGCCGGACCUGACUGCUAUCGGAUUGAUACUAAGCCAUGCGAGUCAUUGUAGCAAUGCAAGGCAGACGGCUCAGUAACGCGUAGUCAACCUACCCUAUGGACGGGAAUAAUCUCGGGAAACUGAGGAUAAUUCCAGAUAGAACACUAUGCCUGGAACGGUUUGUGUUCCAAAUGAUUUAUCGCCAUAGGAUGGGACUGCGGCCUAUCAGUUUGUUGGUGAGGUAAUGGCCCACCAAGACUAUUACAGGUACGGGCUCUGAGAGGAGUAGCCCGGAGAUGGGUACUGAGACACGGACCCAGGCCCUAUGGGGCGCAGCAGGCGAGAAAACUUUGCAAUGUGCGAAAGCACGACAAGGUUAAUCCGAGUGGUUCCUGCUAAAGGAACCUUUUGACGGUCCUAAAAACACCGUUGAAUAAGGGGUGGGCAAGUUCUGGUGUCAGCCGCCGCGGUAAAACCAGCACCUCAAGUGGUCAGGAUGAUUAUUGGGCCUAAAGCAUCCGUAGCCGGCUCUGUUAGUUUUCGGUUAAAUCUGUACGCUCAACGUACAGGCUGCCGGGAAUACUACAGAGCUAGGGAGUGGGAGAGGUAGACGGUACUUGGUAGGAAGGGGUAAAAUCCUUUGAUCUAUUGAUGACCACCUGUGGCGAAGGCGGUCUACUAGAACACGUCCGACGGUGAGGGAUGAAAGCUGGGGGAGCAAACCGGAUUAGAUACCCGGGUAGUCCCAGCUGUAAACCAUGCAAACUCAAUGAUGCACUGGCUUGAAGCCAAUGCAGUGUUGCAGGGAAGCCGUUAAGUUUGCCGCCUGGGAAGUACGUACGCAAGUAUGAAACUUAAAGGAAUUGGCGGGGGUGCACCACAAGGGGUGAAGCCUGCGGUUC